rnacentral:rRNA from 1 species
GACUUGACAUCUCCUGAAUUACUCUUAAUCGAGGAAGUCCCUUCGGGGACAGGAAGACAGGUGGUGCAUGGUUGUCGUCAGCUCGUGUCGUGAGAUGUUGGGUUAAGUCCCGCAACGAGCGCAACCCUUAUUGUUAGUUGCUACUAUUAAGUUAAGCACUCUAACGAGACUGCCGCGGUUAACGUGGAGGAAGGUGGGGAUGACGUCAAAUCAUCAUGCCCCUUAUGUCUAGGGCUACACACGUGCUACAAUGGCUGGUACAACGAGCAGCAAACCCGCGAGGGGGAGCAAAACUUGAAAGCCAGUCCCAGUUCGGAUUGUAGGCUGAAACUCGCCUACAUGAAGUUGGAGUUGCUAGUAAUCGCGAAUCAGCAUGUCGCGGUGAAUACGUUCCCGGGUCUUGUACACACCGCCCGUCACACCAUGAGAGCCGGUAACACCCGAAGCCCGUGAGGUAACCGUAAGGAGCCAGCGGUCGAAGGUGGGAUUGGUGAUUGGGGUGAAGUCGUAACAAGGUAGCCGUAGGAGAACCUGCGGCUGGAUCACCUCCUAUCUAGGGA